rnacentral:lncRNA from 1 species
GCGUCACGUGGCCCUGAACAAAGGCGGUGAACUUUAUCCGGCAGUAACCUAAUCUCCUGGAUCGUUUACCAACAACACUCAGAGUGAUCUCCGGGAUUACCUUGGGCUUUGGCCAGCACCAGGGAGACUGGGCUGAACAGAAGUUUCUGGCUCUGUGUGGACCACGUUCUCUCCUAGCGUCAGAGCUUUCCUCAGAGUUCUGUGAGAGCAGUGUUAACUGUGGACAGUCCUGGACUCACAUCACCCCAGUUUGUUGCCUCAGAAGACAAAACUCUCCCAGGAUCUUGAGAUGGAUCGAGAUUGAGAGUCCUGAGUUCAGAGCUCUUAAUGGAACGGGCAAAGUUCUAAGGAGAGAAGCUAUGGAGAUGGGGAAAGGAAACUCAGGUGGAGCAGAGAUGGAGGCACAAGCCAAGGCCUCUGUGAGUCACCAGAAGCAGGGGCAGGACCAGCCUUGGUAACGCUGUGAUUUAGGACAGCCGACAAUCCCAACAUGUGUUAAUUCUAAUACAUUUCUGUCUUUUG